ACACUCCUGCGGGAGGCAGCAGUGGGGAAUUUUGGACAAUGGGCGAAAGCCUGAUCCAGCCAUGCCGCGUGCAGGAUGAAGGCCUUCGGGUUGUAAACUGCUUUUGUACGGAACGAAACGGCCUUUUCUAAUAAAGAGGGCUAAUGACGGUACCGUAAGAAUAAGCACCGGCUAACUACGUGCCAGCAGCCGCGGUAAUACGUAGGGUGCAAGCGUUAAUCGGAAUUACUGGGCGUACAGCGUGCGCAGGCGGUUAUGUAAGACAGUUGUGAAAUCCCCGGGCUCAACCUGGGAACUGCAUCUGUGACUGCAUAGCUAGAGUACGGUAGAGGGGGAUGGAAUUCCGCGUGUAGCAGUGAAAUGCGUAGAUAUGCGGAGGAACACCGAUGGCGAAGGCAAUCCCCUGGACCUGUACUGACGCUCAUGCACGAAAGCGUGGGGAGCAAACAGGAUUAGAAACCCCAGUAGUCCCAUG
rnacentral:rRNA from 1 species